UACGUAGGUGGCAAGCGUUAUCCGGAAUUAUUGGGCGUAAAGCGUGCGCAGGCGGUUUUGUAAGCCCGAUGUGAAAUCCCCGGGCUUAACCUGGGAAUGGCAUUUGGGACUGCAAGGCUCGAGUGCGGCAGAGGAGACUGGAAUUCCUGGUGUAGCAGUGAAAUGCGUAGAUAUCAGGAGGAAUACCGAUGGCGAAGGCAGGUCUCUGGGCUGACACUGACGCUCAUGCACGAAAGCGUGGGGAGCAAACAGG
rnacentral:rRNA from 1 species